UACAGAGGUCUCAAGCGUUGUUCGGAUUCAUUGGGCGUAAAGGGCGCGUAGGCUGCGGGGCAAGUCGGGUGUGAAAUCUCAGAGCUCAACUCUGAAACUGCACUCGAUACUGCUUUGCUCGAGGACUGGAGAGGAGAUUGGAAUUCACGGUGUAGCAGUGAAAUGCGUAGAUAUCGUGAGGAAGACCAGUGGCGAAGGCGGAUCUCUGGACAGUUCCUGACGCUCAGGCGCGAAAGCCAGGGGAGCAAACGGG
rnacentral:rRNA from 1 species